rnacentral:miRNA from 6 species
UUCACAGUGGUUAAGUUCUGC